UACGUAGGGUGCAAGCGUUAAUCGGAAUUACUGGGCGUAAAGCGUGCGCAGGCGGUUCUAUAAGACAGAUGUGAAAUCCCCGGGCUCAACCUGGGAACUGCAUUUGUGACUGUAGAGCUGGAGUACGGUAGAGGGGGAUGGAAUUCCACGUGUAGCAGUGAAAUGCGUAGAUAUGUGGAGGAACACCGAUGGCGAAGGCAGCCCCCUGGGUCAAGACUGACGCUCAUGCACGAAAGCGUGGGGAGCAAACAGG
rnacentral:rRNA from 1 species